UUUUUCAAUUUACUUAUGUUUUUUUUUUUUAACUAACAAUAACUGUUUAUUUAAAAGUGCACUCAGUAAUUCUUCAGUGAAUAAUAUAUUAUGUUUCAUUUAAAGCAGGGUCAAUGCUGAAAUUAUCUACAAAAGAGGAUGAACCGGUACCCUCAAACACCCAUUUGGCCAGUGUUAUGAUGCCACAGAGCACAGCUGAAUGGUUUAGGUGUGGUGAGAUGUUGGUGAGCGCGGGAUACCUUCACUACGCAUGCGCAAGGGUUCCUCAACUGUGCACAUACGUUAGUGGAACCAGACGAUAGGCUUAAAUGUUUCCCGGCUUGACUGUUAGAAGCAGAUGAUUGGCUUUCCAGCGGGAGGGGCGGGACUUGUGCACGCAACCGCCAUCUUUGCCGUUACGGGUUUUCCUUAUAUAGUUGAAUUGAGGAUUGAGGAAGUGACAUGUCUCUUAUAAACUGUCUCUGGUGCAGUAUAGACGUGAAAUUCCGUGAAACAUUUUGUGGGUUUGCAGUAACAUUAGUGGUCUUAAACGAGAGUUGUUAACGGUUUUAAGAGUGGUGAGACAGCAAAUUUCUCGAAUUAUUCCAGUGAAUGAUGGCGAGGUGUACAAUCAAUCACCAUCAUAGUAUACCCCCAACAUCCAGCACUGACACGGCGGAGCAACAUCUUCAUCCCCAAGAUGAACCUCCUGUUGGUGUGGGAGACGCCCAGAGGAGUGUGGAGGAGGAAAAAGAGCUUCUGGAGGCUGCCCUCUUUCUUUAGAGCUGCCAGAAAACACUUCAAGGUGAUCCGCCCUGGUCAGACUGAGGUGCAGCUCAUUGAGUCACUCCUGGACAUCAAGGCACCCAGAAUGCCAGGGGUUAUAAAGCUGCUGGACUGGCAGGACUCGGGACAACUGUCAUAGUCCCCGAGUGUCCGUCAACCUGCGAGAGCUUAGUUCAUUUCUUGGAGGGCCACGGAAGGGGACUCAAUAAAGGUUUAGUUCGACACAUCAAGUGGCAGGCAAUGCACAUGUUGUCUCUUGUGGCAUUUUCCAUAGUGACAUAAAGUUGGGAAACUUCAUCAUGAGUAAGGAGGACACACUGCUGGUCAGAUUGAUUGACUUUAGGUGUGGAGAUCUCCUGAGAAAGUCUGCCUACACAACACUGUAUGGUAUGUAUUAUUCCUCAAAGCUAACAGAGAAAAUAGUUUGGUAAUGCUAACUUGCAUUCGAGAUGAAAUCUCUUUCCUCCAGGCAUUGACUUCUACCCUCCCGAGUACAGAGUCAAGAGCAAGUACCAUGCAAAAGUCUGCAGUGACGUGGUCUCUUGGGGUCAUCUUGUUCACAAUGCCGUGUGGCCGUUUUCCAACUGGUGAGGAUCUACACAAGACCAAACUAAAGCUUUGGUCAGAGCCUGGAUUGUCAAAAGGUGAGCUCUUCAUCACAAAAAAAAAAAAAAAAAAAAAAAGUAAAUCUGAAUCAAAUCAUACAAAUGAUCUUCCAGAUCAGAUCUAGCAAUUGAAUAGUGCAGAUAGAAAGGCUUAACGUCGUAAUCAAAUAAUGCUUCUGUGUUUCUGCAGCCGUUUGAUCUAUAGCCUCCUGCAGCAUAAACCUAAGCAGCGGCUCGGUCUGGUUUCAGGUACGGAGCUUAAGAUCAGCCACAUUUGCUUUUGUAAUGUAUUGUUUUUAGGCUAAUGUUUUGUUCGGUGUGUUGUCCCAGGUCUCCAUAAAAGUUGUGGAGAAAAGGAGCUCCAACCCCAGACAUUUCCCCAAUGGAAGAUCAUUCACCACAAAUGGUUUCGGCUGCCGAGCCUAAGAUCACUUGAGGACGUGUACGUCACUGUCCCAUUACUUCCUCCACAACAUGAUGUCAUCACUCCAAGAAGUUCAUGUCUCAUCUCAUCUCAAGAGCCCAGAUAGCUCAGUAGGUCACCACAUAAGAUGUUGUUCCAGUGCUCCUGUAUCAGCUGCCCUGGGACCAGAGUACCCUGUCCUGUCCCUGGAAGUGCUUCUUUGUUACUCACCCUAAAGAACGGGAGCGAACAUCAUUUGAGAGUGGAAAUGUUCAUGUGCUCCAGAAGGUGGCUAUAGAGAAAGAUCUCUGUGCAUCUCCACCAGACCUGUAAAUACUUUUAUUAGCCUUUAUCACCACAUUAAUGACACGUGAUAUAAGCUUAAAAUACCAUCUCCAUCAUUUCUUUCAGAUGUUUUCUUCUUAUCCUCACAUUUGAUCCUAAUAGAGAUUAUAUGACUAAAUCUUUCUUUCAUCAAGACUGGACAGAUUAGAAGAUUCCUUUUAUAUUUAUUUUGUUAUUCUUCUGUGGCUUUUUCUGUUUGUUUAUUUUAUAUUUUCACAUAAUAAAUUGCAACUGUAUAGCAUUUUACUGUAUUGUCAUCCUGCAGU